AUUAAUAACAGGCCUAUAAUAUAUACAUAUAUAAAGAUUAUACAUUGAUAAAGGAAUUACAUUAUUAGCUAUACUUUGAAACUGCUUCAACAGCAAAAUCGUCAAACCAGUUAUAGAAAAAAAUCUGUGGCGUACAAACCCUGGACAGUACAAAUGAAGGCAAACACAGACACACACAGACACACACACUGUGAUGAAAGCGAACACACACACACACUGUGAUGAAGGCGAACACACACACACACACACUGUGAUGAAGGCGAACACAGACACACACGGUGACUCUCACACACACACACACACACACACACACACACACACACACACACACAAACACACUGUGAUGAAGGCCAACACAGAAACGGUUAUGGUGAUUCUCUCACACACACACAUACACACACACACACUGUGAUGAAGGCGAACACAGACACGGUGACUCUCACACACACACACACACACACACACACACACACACACAAACACACUGUGAUGAAGGCGAACACACACACACAAACACACUGUGAUGGAGGCUAACACAGACACAGGGACUCUCACACACACACACACACACACAAACACCCUGUGAUGAAGGCGAACACAGACACGGUUAUGGUGACACACACACACACACACAUAAACACACUGUGAUGAAGGCGAACACACACACGGUGACUCUCUCACACACACACACACACACACUGUGAUUAAGGUCGAACACACACACGGUUGCGUUGAUAAGCUGUAGUGCAUGGAAGGACAUGCAAAUGUCAUCAUGGUGGUUAAGCAGACAGUGAUGUCACACAGCUCAGAGAACACACACACACACACGCAUGCACGUACACACGCGUAUGUACGUGCACACACACACAUACACACACACACACACACACACACACUCUCACAACCCACAAGCAGCCCUAAAACAUAUGGACCACAGGCUAUCUGAGAGAGGUGUGUGUGCUUGAUGCAUAGGCGUACAUUAGAGGGAAGGCAGUAGUUAAGCUGUACAGUGACGGGCAGGCAGACCACAGUGACCAGACGUGACAGAGGGAGACUGUACGUCAUGUGUUCCCCUCUUACAUAGGCCUAUACAUGAAGACACUGUGGUGAUGGAGGCGAACACACACACACACACACACACACACACACACACACACGCACACACACACACACACACACACACACACAGUGACGUGACAGAGGGAGACUGUACGUCAUGUGUUCCCCUCUGACAUAGGCCUAUACAUGAAGACACUGUGGUGAUGGAGGCAAACACACACACACACACACACACACACACACACACACACACACACACACACACACACACACACACACACAGUGACGUGACAGAGAGAGAGACUGUACGUCAUGUGUUCCCCUCUGACUCAGGCCUAUACAUGAAGACACUGUGGAGAUGGAGGCGAACACACACACACACACACACACACACACACACACACACACACACUCCUCUGACUCAGGCCUAUACAUGAAGACACUGUGGUGAUGGAGGCGAGCACACACACACACACACACACACACACACACACACACACACACACACCCCUCUGACUCAGGCCUAUACAUGAAGACACUGUGGUGAUGGUGGUAUGAGUGAGUCUGAUGAGUUAGACCAAGAGAAAAGCUGACUAUGACAUGCAGAGAUGCACGUAAACACACAGAGACACUCACACACACACACAAACACAUAAAGACACAUAGACACACAGACACACACCAAUGUUGCAGAGUAAAACAUACCCAAGCUCAUUGAAGGAAAGACACCUUAAUGAGAAAAAGAGAGGACAGAGCAGCAUCACCAAGAGUGUGUACAACAUCUCAAACAUCAUCAACAUGUGGGUCCAUGUGUAUACAUGUGUAUGUGUGGGACCAUGUGUAUGUGUGGGACCAUGCGUAUGUGUGAGUCCAUGUGUAUGUGUGGGUCCAUGUGUAUGUGUGUAUGUGUGUGUGUGUGUCCAUGUGUAUACGUGUGUGUGUGUGUAUCUGUGUGUCCAUGUGUAUGUGUGUGUGUGUGUGUGUGUGGGUCCACGUGUAAGUGUGAGUCCAUGUGUAUGUGUGGGUCCAUGUGUAUGUGUGUAUACAUGUGUAUGUGUGGGUCCAUGUGUAUGUGUGUGUGUGUGUGUGUAUGUGUGUGUCCAUGUGUAUGUGUGUGUGUGUGUGUGUGUGUGUGUGAGUCCAUGUGUAUGUGUGGGUCCAUGUUUAUGUGUGAGUCCAUGUGUAUGUGUGUGUUCAUGUGUUCAUGUGUAGGCACAUUGUGUUCUUAUAAGGUAAAAGAAUUAUAUUUAUUAUUAUGAAUGAACAAUUCUAUAGAAAAGAGCGGCGUCACCAUAGAGCUUAAGGACAUGAGGUGGAACGGAGCAGGCCAUCAGAGCGAGUGUGUGUGUGUGUGUGUGUGUGUGUGUGAUCUUAAGGACAUGAGGCCCAGGAUAAAUACAGACCAAACACUGAGGGGGUGGAUGGAGCAGGCCAUCAGAGCGUGUGUGUGUGUGUGUGUGUGUGUGUGUGUGUCCAUGUGUAUGUGUGUGUGUGUGUGUGUGUGUGUGUGUGUGUGUAUGUGUGUGUCCAUGUGUAUGUGUAGGCACAUUGUUCAAUAUCUAUGCAGAAAUGUGAAAAGUGUCAGAUGG
ensembl:lncRNA